rnacentral:rRNA from 1 species
UACGUAGGGUGCGAGCGUUAAUCGGAAUUACUGGGCGUAAAGCGUGCGCAGGCGGCUUUGCAAGACAGAUGUGAAAUCCCCGGGCUCAACCUGGGAACUGCAUUUGUGACUGCAUGGCUAGAGUGCGGCAGAGGGGGAUGGAAUUCCGCGUGUAGCAGUGAAAUGCGUAGAUAUGCGGAGGAACACCGAUGGCGAAGGCAAUCCCCUGGGCCUGCACUGACGCUCAUGCACGAAAGCGUGGGGGAGCAACAGG